rnacentral:lncRNA from 1 species
UGGAAUUGCCAACCUUGUGCAUCAAAGUUCAGGGGGUGCUCAAGGCUCCAAGAGCAAUGCUUAUACUAAGGGGGCAGAACCUAAUUUCUAUGAGUAGUGAGAUUGUGAUAAAGUUUGAGAGAGAUGAAAACAGUUGAGAGACAGUUUGAGAAUACAUUUGAAAGAAUUGAGAGAGUUUAAGAAAACAGUUGGAAGAGUUGCAAGAGUUCUUUUGAAUUCAUUUAGACAGACUGGUUUUAAAACAACAGAGCAUCACACAAAUAAGGUCAAAUGGGAAGGGAACAAAUAAGCAAAGUAAACUACUCACAUAUGCAACACAUUUGAAGAAAGUAACCAGACAUAGUUGCAAAGCAAGAGUUCAGUUCUUACUGUACCAAAUUCUAAUACACUUAGCCUCAGAAAGAGGAUUUAGGUUAACCAAGUAGCCAAACUGACAUGGAUGCAUGGUAGUAGUACACAAGGAAAAAGUAAACAUUCAUUGAGACAUGAGGGGGUAAGGGAGCAUGUUAAGCUGAACCAAAUAGACUAGUAAUUAACAUGCUAGUGACAAUAAGAGCAACAAAACCAUAAGUAAAAGCACACAAGAAACAUUAUGAAAUGCAAAAUCAAUAGAAACAUGUUGUUGUGGAAACUAUAUUUUAAAGGGAUGAAAUACCAUUUGCAAGUAAUAGACCACAAUGACAAUAGUGCACAGAGGAACAAGGUGAGCAGAGAGUGUAAGCAGCAGAGAAAAUAACAGCAGUAUGAGAACAACAGCAGCAACAGACCCAAGUAAACAAACAAUAGAACCCAGUAGUGUAGAAGUAAUCACGCCAGGCUACUCAAUCUUGGCUUUCAGCCGAAUGAGUGUUCAAAUAAGAGAGUAAGAGAGUAUAGCAGAGAAAGAGAGAAUUCAUAGAAUCUGAAGUUGUGCGAAAUAUGCGGUGUGUGUUGGUGUGUUCAAGAAAAGGUGAGGAAUAUUUAUAGUUUUUGAAAAUAACAGGGAAUAGGGUAGGGAGUAUUUAAUUAUAGAAAUAGUACAAAAUUGAAUCAAUCAUAGGUCCUAAUUCAAAUUAAUCUGGGAUUCAUGAUUCUAAUGGGAAUACAGCUAUAUCAUAUAAGGAAAGAAUCAAUCAGACGACUAAUUACACCAUAGCAAAGUAGUAGGCUUGUAGUAUGUAAUAGAGGCCAAAUACAUAAUACUCGAAUAAGAACAACAUAUAUUGAAUAUUGUAAAAAUAUUUAAGACCACAAAUAUGGUAAGAAUACAAAAUUAACUCUGAAAUUAGUCAAAGAAUCACGGACGAGACUAAAAUCAGAAUGAAUUAGUGCUAAUUAUAGAGAGAAUUUCAAAAGCAAUGAAAUAAUUCAAGAAAUAAUGUGUAAGAACCAAUAAGGAAAACGCAUACAUAUUAGGGAUUCAAAGAUAUGCACAUAAUCAUUCGAAUAACAAUUAGACCUAUAAAUACAAUAGGCAUGGAAAAUCAGAGAACAUUGUGCAAGAAAUCAUAGAAGAGUAGAGGGUUGGAACCCUAGUAAAAAAGAUUAAAGCAUGGAACUCAGAAACAAACAUGCUCGUAACAAAAAACAAACAUAUAAGACAUGCAUACAUAAUACUCAAAGGAAGCAGAAUAUGUAGUGAUCUUGAAGGGGGUCGGAAACCCUAGCAAGAAAAAAUUAAAGCAUGGACCCAGGUUAACAAGGACACCAAACAAACAAGUAAAACAGAUAAACACAAACGAACAUAUAGCACUCAGAAAGAGCAGAAGAAAUGAUUUUGAAGAAGGGGGUCAGAAACCCUAAUUUGAAAUAGUAGUAACCAUCUGAAAUUUGAAUUAACCGGUAACACUAAGUAAAACAAUAGAGUAGAAAACAAAAUCAAACUGAGAGUUGUUUUAAAAAAAGCAGAGAUUAAAGAGGUUCGAGUAGAAAAAUUAGGGUUUGCAAACAAUUAGGGAAAACAAAGAACCUCGCCGUGAAACUCGUAUAUAAUGCCAUAAAAGGAAUUAUCGGACAAAAACCACCGAAGAAAAGCCGGAAACAUACCCAAGUGAAGCUUCAGUGACCGUCUUUCAUGGCGGAAACUGCUGGGCUUCAAGCUUUAGAGAGAAAACAACGACAUAAGGAUUCCAUGGCUACUAGAGGUCAAGAGAAAUGAGGGAGGAGUAUGACCGGAGAGGCGAUGACUUUCAUCAAAGAAGAAGGAACUAGAAGGUCCUAGAGAAAAGGGAAAGCAUUUGUUAGAGAGAGAGAGAGAGAGAGACGGUCUAAGUGAAUGAGGGUUUGGGAAGGGAAGGUUAGAUUUAAUUAAGGGAACAUAAUCUGGGCCGUUGAUCUCAAUUGAUCAACGGCUCAUAUCAAGUCAAAGGUGGACCGGAUAAAAAAUUGACGGGUAUGGGUUAUUAAAUUGGGUUAAAAUUGGGCUGAAAUGGGGGGUGGAAUUGGGCUAUAAUUUAAAUAAAAU